AUUGAACGCUGGCGGCAGGCCUAACACAUGCAAGUCGAGCGGAUGGAGGGAGCUUGCUCCUGGAUUCAGCGGCGGACGGGUGAGUAAUGCCUAGGAAUCUGCCUGGUAGUGGGGGAUAACGUCCGGAAACGGGCGCUAAUACCGCAUACGUCCUGAGGGAGAAAGUGGGGGAUCUUCGGACCUCACGCUAUCAGAUGAGCCUAGGUCGGAUUAGCUAGUUGGUGGGGUAAAGGCCUACCAAGGCGACGAUCCGUAACUGGUCUGAGAGGAUGAUCAGUCACACUGGAACUGAGACACGGUCCAGACUCCUACGGGAGGCAGCAGUGGGGAAUAUUGGACAAUGGGCGAAAGCCUGAUCCAGCCAUGCCGCGUGCGUGAAGAAGGUCUUCGGAUUGUAAAGCACUUUAAGUUGGGAGGAAGGGCAGUAAGUUAAUACCUUGCUGUUUUGACGUUACCAACAGAAUAAGCACCGGCUAACUUCGUG
rnacentral:rRNA from 1 species